UUUUUCGAUAAUAGCCGACGAGAUUUUUUUUCGUCUACUAAAAUACUUUAGCCGACGAGUAAAAACUUUGGCCGACGAAGGAAAACUUUGGCUGACAAAAAAAAAAUUUCGUCGGCUAAAGUAUAGUAUAGCUGACGAAAAAAUUUCUUUAGCCGACAAAAUUUUUUUUUCGUCCGCUACAGUUGAUCAUAGCCGACGAAAAUUUAAAUUAGCUGACGAAGGAAAAUUUCGUCGGCUAACAUGGACUUUAGCCAACGAAAAAAUAAUUCAUUGGCCUAGUUUUUUUAUUUUCGUCGGCUAAAGCUUUUCUUCUGGUAGUAUAUUGUGAAAGUUAUCAAUAAUCUGGUGUAUACUAAAUUUUUCAACAAUUUUCUUUUCAAUGUACAUAAUCAAAUAGUCUAUAAGAAGAUGGUUCUUCAUUCUAAUCUCUGAAGUCUAGUUUCCACUCUUCUGGAUAGCUAGGACUAGAUUAACUACUUUCUUUCUUAAAAAAGAAAAAUAUAUUUUUUUUUAACAUGUAAAUCAAAUCUAACGAACUUAAAACAAGUUAUAGUGAGACAACUAACCAAAAAGAGCUGCUGAAACGUGGGGUGGGAGGGUGCCAAUUUAUAUGGUUUAACUAAAGUCUGGUUCAAUUCAACCAAGUUCUCAAUAAUAAAAACACAUAUACAUUACACAAUUUGAAAUUUGGAGGGGUGCCUUGGUCUUUGAAUGCUUCCGCCAUUAAUCGCAACCAUUACCGCCACCGUGUCCAACAGCAAGUCUCGGUACAGAUUGCUUAUUCCUCCCAAAUAUUGAUGGGUACGUACAUAUAAAAGCUUUGUUUGUGCUAGGCUUGAAUGUGCUAGACUUCUUUGAUGCCUUGUUCACGGUCUGAAAGUAGAGGAACCUCCAUUUCUACCGCUUGUAAAUUUACAAGCCAGAACAACGAUGAGGACAACAUCGCCUACCUCAAACUCUCAUGAGAGAGACGAAAGCUUGAUUACGGCUGAUGAAAUUGAACAUUAAUUAGUGAUUAAAUUGAAACUACAAGGCCUAACAUGAUGUCAACCAAUACCGAAAGUAAACUGAAAUUACUACUUAUAUAUAUAUAUAUAUAUAUAUAUACACACACA
rnacentral:lncRNA from 1 species